AACGAACGCUGGCGGCAUGCCUAACACAUGCAAGUCGAACGAUGCCUUCGGGCAUAGUGGCGCACGGGUGCGUAACGCGUGGGAAUGUGCCUUUCGGUUCGGAAUAACUCAGGGAAACUUGAGCUAAUACCGGAUAACGUCGCAAGACCAAAGAUUUAUCACCGAAAGAUGAGCCCGCGUAGGAUUAGCUAGUUGGUGAGGUAAAGGCUCACCAAGGCGACGAUCCUUAGCUGGUCUGAGAGGAUGAUCAGCCACACUGGGACUGAGACACGGCCCAGACUCCUACGGGAGGCAGCAGUGGGGAAUAUUGGACAAUGGGCGAAAGCCUGAUCCAGCAAUGCCGCGUGAGUGAUGAAGGCCUUAGGGUUGUAAAGCUCUUUUACCCGGGAAGAUAAUGACGGUACCGGGAGAAUAAGCCCCGGCUAACUCCGUG
rnacentral:rRNA from 1 species